CCCAGCAUCGUCUUGUCUGCUCAUUCCCCGUCUAUUUCUGUCUCUCAGAGGCAGACGGGGACGAGAGAGGGAGGUCGAGGAGAUUCCGUAGGUUAUGUCGAUCUCCUCCUCCGGCGUUCUUGUUCAUCGUCGAUAUAGGGUUUCCGGUCUCAGGUUGAUCAUGGUGGUUAUCCAGGCUCGGAGUAGGAUUGAUGACGGUGGAUGAAGUAGAUCUUAUCCUUUCCCGCGAAGGCUCUCUGAUCGAUUCUUCCUUUCUGCGCUUCCUAAACUUCAGCUUUCCCUUCCAAUUGAUUUUUAAUUACUGUGUGGCUGGGGAUUUUUAGUUUUAUGCGUUGUUCCACGCAGUUUGAUCAAGCUUCGUGGGGGAUCAGCGGAGUCUAAAGCUUACGAGAAGCUUCUGUUUGGAUUCAGUCCUCGUUGCUUUCGAUAACUGGAUUUGACUCUUGAUUUCAGUGAAUUCUCGUGUCGCCUGGGAUUUAUCGGUAGUUUAUGCGCUAUUUCUACGCAGUUUGAUCAAGCUUUGUGAGGGAUCAACGAAGUGUAGAGCUUACGAGAAGCUUCUGUUUGGAUACAAUCCCCCAAUCUUUUGAUAAUUGGAUUUGACUCUUCCGAUUUCGGUGAAUCCUCGUGUCUUCUGGAAUUGAUCGGUAGUUUAUGCUUUCUACGCAGUUUGAUCAGGCUUUGUGGGGGAUCGGUGGAGUUUUAAGAGCUUCUGUUUGGAUUUGGAUUGGAUCCUCCUCUCUUUCGAUAACAGGAUUUGACUCUUUUUGAUUUUGGUGAAUUCUCGUGAUUUUGAUGUUGCCUUGUCGGCCUGCGCCGCUGAUUUGUGGAUCACGUGUUGCAGAUUAUGGGUCGUUCUACAUAGAUUCCUUGAUCAGGCCUUGUGGAGGAUCAGCCGAGUCUAGAAAUUCUGAGAAGCUUCUCUUUGGCCUGGAUCCUCCUUUCUUUUAUCAACUGGAUUUGACUCUUGAUUUUGGUGAAUUUCGUGAUUGUUGAUUGCUAUGUCAACCUGGAGGGUCUGAUUGGUGGAUCGCGUAUUCAUGCAGAUUCUUUUCCCGUAGUUAACGCUUGAGACGGGGGUUGCCUGCGACUGUGGUUGGGAUCGGUUUAGUGUUCUAAUCUCAGCUGUUUGGUUUCAUACUCAGUUUGAGUUUAUUGGCGAGCUAUCAUAUUUGGUCAAUACCACCCGCAAUUUCGGUUGUGUUUUCUUCAUCAGAUUUGAGUCAGAUGGAUGAAGUUCAACGAAAUAGAUCUCUUCAUCAGUGAAGACUUUGGGCGAUUUUGGAGCUUUCUGAAUGAUUAAUAGAUCCUUUGCCACUGCUGAAUGACUGAUCAUGCGUAUUGAGCAAACAUGGGAUAGCUUGCGUUUGAAUCUCUGAUGACCUUAGCUCAUAUCUUUGACUGAUGGUUCUUUUGGGGAGUUCUUUUGAUUGUUGACCUUGUUUUGUCAAUCUGGAGCUUUGAUCUUUGAUCACGUAUUUGUGCAGAUCCUUUUCUGCUUGAUUGUAGUUCAUGCUUUUGGUAGGAGCUGCAUGCGGUCGGAGAGUCGAUUGGUUUUGUGUUUCAGUUUUGGUGGUUCAAUUUGAUUUGAUACUUGGUUUUUGUCUCUUCAUGAGCUAUAUCCGGUUGAUGAUUUCCCCCAAUGUCUGUUUUGUUGUGGUUGUCAGAUCUAAUAUUCAGACAGAUGAGGGGCAGCAAAGUCGUUCUUGAUCAGCGCUGGCAUUUGUUUGGAAACUAUAUUUUCCCAACGAUCUUGAAUUACUUCUGUGUUUUCUCUUGGUUCUUUUUAUGGUCAAGAUUACUUUCUAAAACUGGUACUUACGUUAGGAAAGUCUGUCUUGCAGAAUCUUAAAUGAACGCUCACGCUCAUAGGUCCUACAUGGAUUGGGAAAGCCAUUGAUUCUUUGUUGGUUAACAAUUUUGUUUGUUGCAUUGUGGUUUUCUUUUUUUCCUGAACUAUUAUUUUCUUGUGGUUUGCAGGGACAUUAUUCCUGGAUGGUGAUAUUUCCCGUUUUGACAUCCGGUUAUUUUGUUCCCUCUUUCAGGCUAUUUCUCUUUCUGCUAAAGUUUAUUGCCUGGUUAUUGAUGAUGUUUUCCUGUGUGGAUCGGUGCCUGCCCAUAUCGUUUUCCAAUGGUUUGAGGUUGGAUAUGUGUGCAUAUAUAUUUCUUUAAAAAUGCUCAGGACUCUCUUCCCCUAACUAUAUAUUUUUUCAUGGUUUAUUCUGUCACCGAUGAAUCCAGAAACUUUUUCGAAGGAUUACGCUAUACUGUAAUGUGCAGAUUUUUUCGCUGUAAUUGGGACGGCUAGAAACAAUUGAUAAGUUGAAUGUUCUUUGUUCAUUUCAAAUUUUUGAACUAUAAUAAUUUCUAGGGUCUAUGGAUGCUCUCAAUUCCAUUCCUCUGGCUAUUUUCAUGUCAGGUCCAGGUCAAAGAUGAGGUUGGAACUUUAUCUUCUUGGCAAAGGCUUCAGAACGUUUUGGGGGACAUAUAUUACUCCUUCUCUUUUUCUUUUAUUUUAUAUUAUUUUCAUUCAUUUCUUUCGGAUCCAAACCUUUUGGUUUUAACCUUGAACUUAUGCAUAUAUUUAUGCACAUUGUGCAGAUUCUCUGGUUACACUUUGGAACAGAUGAGUCCUAGCAUAGUUAGAAACUGCUGUGUUUGGAUACUCUUCCUCUUCAAUUACUAUGACCUAUUUCUUCAAUUUUAGCAGACUUCUAUUCAAUGUGAAACUGCCUCGUCAACCAAACUUAAUUUUUAGGAUGGUGUCAUGCAGAUAUUCACGUCGCUUUUAUUGGAGAAGAGUGGCAUCUUGGGAUCUUUAUGAACUUCUGCUUGGGAACUCUCAUUUCUCCCUAAUUUUUAAACAGAUUCUUUUUCCUCACAAAAUUCAUUCAUUGUUCAAUUGCUGCCAGGGGAGUGAUAUUUGUUUUCGGCUGGUUGUGGUGUAGGAAAGUGACGUAAGGACUCAAAACACUUCAGAGUGUGGCCUGAUUAGUGGCGAAGUUUUACUCUGGGGGUUUUCUUGGACUUUUGUGUUUUCGAUGUGAUCUUGAAAGAUAUCACAGCUGCAGUGAUGACAUUGGAUUUAUCUGGUUCUGUCGUAGGUUCAAAAUUUGAUUCUCUGUUAAUUCUUCUAUCAUGGACAAAAUCCUUUUGUGCACACUUCAUCUCCAUCCACAAUCAAGGCAAGUUGAAGGAUGCACUGGCUUUGCUCAUGCAUAGGAUCCAGCAGUCUGGGGGAUUUCUUGAACUAGUCUCUCCCCUUCUUUUUAUUUUUUUAAGCAAUGCUUAAAUGUCAGCCAGAGAAGUGACUUGCUUUUGGUUGGUUCCGGUGUAGGAUGAUCACGAUAAUUCAACUUUGGAUAGUGGCCUUUAUCUGCGCUGGAGUUUUGAUUAUAGGGGUUUUCUUGGACCUCUUUUUUUUUUCAAAGUGAUCUUGAAAGAUAUCACGUCUAAAGUGACAUAUUCGUUAUAUCUGGUUCUGUUGUAGGAAGAAACUAGACCUUUUUCACACUUCUACAUGGACAAAAUCUUUUGAAGCAUAAAGGACGCAACGGCUUUGUUCAAGGAUGGUUUCCAGCAAUCUGGGGGUUCUCUUGAACUAUUAUGCUUUCUGAUAAGCCAUGAUUGUAUGCAGUCAGAGGAGUGAUACAUGUUUUUGGUUGGUUGCAAUGUAGGAUGGUGAUAAAAGGACUGAACACUUUGGUUCGGGGUCUCAGAUAUGCUGAAGUUUUGAUUAUAGGGGGUUUCUUGGACUGUGUUUUGAGAUCUUGAAAGAUGUCAUAGCCAAAGUGAUAACAUUGGUUUAAUCUGGUUAUGUUGUAGGACGGAAGUACAAUGGCGAGUCUCCUAGACAAGGAUUUUGGAGUUUGAUCUUUCGUCGUUAUCGUGAAAUCUCUACCUGUGGGUGUCGUUUCCUGAGUGUUGAUUUGUAUAUAUUUCUCACUUCUAGGGUUGAUGGAAGAUUGAUUCCCGAGCAGAUGGCUUAUUGUGGAAUUUGUGGUCAAGAGGCUCAAAUACUACUACUACUUUUUUUUUUCCUUUUCUGUUUUGGUUAUCAUCUGACAGAAGCUGGCAUUAAAGAGAUUGGUUCCUUUUCAGUUAACAAUAGAUUCUCAGUUCACGGAUUCCUCUUUCUGUAUAUGUCACUUCAAAAGGUGUUGAUUAUGUCUCUAGAGUUACCCGUUAAUGGUUUCCUUUUCUACACAAUGGUGGUGGUUCCUGUUCCAUAGAAGGCAGUUCUCGCAUCACAUAUUGGAGAUAUUGGUGCAGAAUUAAUCUUUUUUGGCUAAGGCUUGGGCAUUUCAACUUCUUUCUUUGCUUUGGAUAUUUUGUUUUAUUACAGAAAGGUUCCGAAUGUUUGGAGUUCAACCUGAAGCUUAUUCUUAGCAUUAUGCACAUGGUGCAGAUUCUUUUAUCUUGCGUUUCGGGGUGCAACGGAAAUAAUGGCAUGCAAAGAGUGCAUACUUCUUCCCUUGAAUGAUUAAAUAUAACUAUUCUCUUAGUAUUUGUCGUAACUGCCUCCACCACUUGGAUCUUGUUCUUAUGAUCAUGUUGCAGAUGCUUCAGCUGCUAAAGACAUUUUAUAUCCCUCGCUUGGAGGAGAGUGUGGGCUUUCUUCGAUGUGGUUGCUUUGUUGUUUCUCACUUCACACACAUUUUGGAAGCCUUUCUUUUGGGUAACCCUAUUUUCCAGUUUAAUUUUGUGUUGAUUUGAUAGUUUGAUAACAUGAACAAGAAUCUGGUUUUGCAUCUCUCUUUUUUUACUCUAUUUUUUUUCUUUUAUUUGGAAGGGCUUGGAUACAAUUGAUCUAUUUGAUAUGCUGGCAGACACUUAUAUUUUGGACUGGUCAUUUUCUAUCUCAAGUCUUGGUUUUGGCCUGUCAUGUAGCAGCAGUUUGUGUAGGAUGACGGGAUUUGCAGGUGUUUUCACUAUUUUCUUGUGGGUUUUCUAAAACAUUGGGAAUGUUUAGCUAUGUAUCUCUGCCGUUCAUUAUACGGUGCAGUGGAGCUGAUGGAGUCACCAUGGAGUCCAAAGUUUCUUGGGGUCAUUUAAGAUUGGAGAUGAUUAAUUUUCCUCAUUGGAUCAGUUUCUGCGGUUGGAGAUGAUGAUGGUUUAUUGAAAUGGAUUUGUCUUUGCCGAUUUUGCGACUCCCCUCUUUUUCCUGAAAUUGUGGCUGCGUACUACGUGACCGAGGAUAUUAUACAUCUGCUUGAAGUUUUUUCUGCUUCUGAGCUGCCUCUCAUUCUUCAGCAUUUAAUGCAAAAGGUUGAAGGAAUAUCUGUCCGUUGGUUGUAUUCCUCUCCUUUUUCUGAUCAAACUGGUUUAUGGGCUUUAACAGUAAAGCACACACAUUGAUGAGGUUGCUUUCUAGGCUUCACACCUCUAUCUGCUGUUGGAUUUCGUGUCGUCGUUGGCUCUCUCAUGUUGGAGGAUGUAAUAUGGUCUUCUUGGUAUCUUUUCCUUGGCUGGAGUUCUUUUGAUGAAUGCCUCUCUCUUGCGGUUGCGGCCACUUGUGUCUUCUAGCUUGCUUCGGUUUUUAACUCCAGUCUCUACAAAUAUUGAUUUGGAUUGAUGCGGGAUUAGUUGGCUAUUUGUGGGGAGAUUCUUCUUGUUACUGAUUUAUCAUAUGGGAGUUGAUGCCGAGAAUUUCAUCUCAAUGCACGAUAGCUCUAGUGCUUGUGUUUCUUUGGGUUUCUCUGGUGUUUGCUCAGUUUUUGAAGUACCUUCAGAGUUGGGAGCAUGCAUGAAGUUCUAUUCUUAAUUUAGAAGAAGUUUUGUCCUAAUGUUGGAUUUUAUGUAUAGUGGUUUAUAUAUGGCUUAGAGAUCUUAGCCUUUUUCUUUCAAUUGGUUGAUAUCUUCUUUCUCUGUUACUAUAGAUGGUAAAUAGUUUAUCAAAUAUGAAACUAUCGGAGAUGCAUUAUUUAUUUCUCGUAUCUUCUGUUCUGUUGAAAAUUCUGUAAAGAUAAGCUGAGGUUGCUGGUGGGAUUGAUUCCUUUGAUUGCUAGUAGAUGUUUCGAAAAAUGAUUGAUUAUUGCAAAAUUGUCAAAUUUAAUUUUGGAUCGAUUCUUUAGAGCUCGUGUGACUUUGUUUAUGGCCAAUAAUGGUCAUUAGUCCCCAAUAGGUAGAGGCUGCAGGGGGCUUCUCAUUUUCAUUUCAGGUCUGGUCUCCAAGUUUGCAGGUGCGGCAGGUAUGAUAAAUAUUAAUAUCUGAUAUUAUAAUUAUAAUUAUAAAGAACUACGUGGGCUCUGAUCCUCUCGGGGGUACGUAGGCACCCACAUAAUUUGUGGAGUUCGAGCCCAAUUAAUUAUAACCCACUUCCCCCCAAUUCGUAGUUGCCCGUCUAUUUGUAUGAGUUCAGUUUUUGGAAUCUUUGUUGGUUGAGUUUUAGUUUGAUAUAUUCCAUUCUGCUAUUGCCACAACAAAUGAUCUGUAUCGGAGGGGAUGGUGUUUGGUGUGCAUUAUUAAGGCCAAAUAGAGCUUAUUUUGUAAAAUUAUACCUUAGAAGCUUUUAGAAAAUGAUGUGACGAUCUUUAGGUCGAGUGAUUUUUUUGUUAGGUUUUAUUGAAGUUUGUUGCAAAGUUGAUAUGAUAUGUGUGAUCUCUUUUUUGUUUUGUUAACUGAGUGUAGAUUCAAUCAACUUUUAACAGAAUAGUGCCAGUUCAAUUAGACGACUGCUGAGUUACAGAUAUGUGAACAACGAAUUGGUGGUCAGUACCUUGUCAACGUUUUAACUAUAAGUUCAUCCCCGAGUGCUCUUUGUUAAUCAAAAUUCUUUAGAAAUUGUAUUUGUUUUGCCAAGUUGGAAUUCGCAUACAACGUUUGCUCAUCUGCAACUUGAAGUUUCUAGGAAUCCUCUCUAGGAUCCAAUUAUUUGGAAAGGUUGGGAUUUUGCAUGACACUUUGCGUCAAUCAAACACAGCUCAAAACUCUGUUUUCUUAAUUAACAUAAGUUCCAACUUUGUGGGGUAGUGACCAACAGCUUUUUAAAUGUGCUUAGAAUAGUUUUUGAGCCUCUUACUAAUGAUUAGACUUGCGUGAUUUAGUUGUAGGAUUAAGAAUGUUUAAGCCUCAAUAUAUGGAUUGGGUCCAGUUGACUAUUCUGAUAUGUUGACAGAUGACAAGUGGCAAUCUUAGGGAAAUAUGUGAUAUAUGAAAGUGGAUUAAUCUUACUCGUCUGACCAUUUUCUUCUCUAAGCUUACAAUUAGAGACAGGCUUUUGUUGACACUCCAGUGGGCACAUAUGUUAAGGGUAAUAAGAGAAAUGGAUUGCUGUUUUUGGGUUUCAAAAUAUUUUGGUCAAGGAGAGUGCAAGACAGGUUACAUCUGAAAUUUUGAAAUCAGUUGUCUUUGAUCUAACAGUUCAAUAUAUAUAGAUUUCCGAUAUCGACAAUUCUGUGGGUUCAUGAGCUUUUCUUUUGGAUAUACCUUCUCUUGAUUGUAUCAGAUGAUGACUCAUGGCAUUUUAAAGGAGGAAGCAUACCCCUGGUUGGUUCUCUGGUCUCAGCUUUGUUGUCAGUGUUUUCCUCAAUCGGUGAUCCUCUUGUAUAUAGUAUUGUUUUCUGGAUUUACUGGUGGCGGUCUGGCAGAUUGUGGUGUUGAGAUCUUUUUGAAACCUUGUCUCAAUUAAUCAGAGAUAGUAUUUCCUGUUAGUAUCGCUUUGGAACAUCACAAUGAGGAGCUAUAGGAAGUGCAAAUCAGUCACAGGAACGAACUAAUUCGGUGCACUUACUGGUAGGAUUAUCUUAAAAUAAUAUGAGCCAGGAUGAGAGUUCUCCCUUAAUGCAUGUGGGUAAUUGUGCGUUAGAUUCUUGAUAGCUGUUGUCUACCCAAUGUUCAUGUUUGACUGUGCUCCUCACUGCAGAGUUCAUCGGAUGAUGGGGGCGUUGGUAAAAACUUUGUUCCGAGAGAAUAAUAAGUUGAAUCAAUACAUCAAUGCUUAUUAUAAGUUAAAAUGGAAUAUUCUUAUUAGAAUUGCGGGUCCUGGUCCCUUGGCCUCCGUGUAUGCUCCAUGGAUCUUUUUCAUUUCAGGUCUGACUUGAUUUUUCCUAGGGCGUGACAGGUAUGUAUUCAUUAUCGUUUCUAAAAGAACUGAUCCUCGUACCAAUGUAGGCACCCAUACACCUGUGGGGUUCGUGUCCAGCUUCAUCCCCCCCCCCAAAAGUUUUUUUCAUUUUUGUACUCCAAUUAUGUUUUUUGCAUGUGUUUGAUGUGUAUAUAUAUGUACGUCUGCUAAAUAUCGAAACUGUUCUGUUUGGAAGGGAAAUGAUUCUACACCCUGGUUUGUGAUUCGUGGCUUCAUCACCGCGUAUGGUUGGCCUGUAAUUUUGCUUAUUUUAGUUCUAUGUUCUCCUGAAGUGCUCUGUAUUGGAACCUUCGUACCCUCUUGUCAAGGCCUGCCUCUGUUUUGUAGUCUUGAGCCAGGUUGAAAUAGAAUAAUCAGGCAACUCUCAAAACUUUAUAUCAGCAUGAUCACUGUCGUUGCUGACUGUAGUAGUAGGGGCCAUCAGGGUUCGUUUAUUUAGUUUUGGUUUAACUAAUCAAUUAGUAGUAGUGUUGUUCCCUGUUUUGGACGGGAAUGUCCCAUUGAUAUGCAUUUGUUGAAAGAUUUAUAUUUAUAAUAAAAAUUUGAACCGAGCUUACCUACAAGGAUGUUUAUUCUCUAUCCAAUUUUCAUUGAGGUCUGUCUUAGCUCGGAGGCCAUUGAGCUAAACAUGUCGAGCCUUGUACAAAUAGGAAGUCACAUUCCAUUAUCCGAUGAGACAGUUCGGCCUUACUUAAGAUUCACUGAAUAAUGUAAUUAGUGAUGCUUUGAAUUCAAAAGGACUUGCUAAAUGUUGUAAUUAAUGAUGCUUUUAAUUCAAAAAUGAACUGACAAGUUGCCGAACGUUGGAAGAAAUUGUCCAUCAUGGGUUUUCUUUCAAUAAAGAUAAUUCUUCUGAAAGGAAAAUGGUCAGUGUGUAGCUCAGCCCCUGACGGCCACGUGCGCUCUUCCAUGUCGUGAAAGCGGGGUACCAAAAUGUUGCAUGCAUCGUUUCCACCUGGCGGUGGUGGAAAUGUAAUAUGUAGAAUCUUGAAACAAAAAAGUGACGGCAAAAAAAAAUAAAAAUAAAUAAUAUAUAUAUAUAUAUAUAUGUAGAAUCCUCUAAUACAAUAUAAUAGCCAUGCCAAUUUAUUGAUAUCCUUGAGAUUGACCAUGGUAAUGCCAGCUUGGUAUAAGUUAUGCCAUUCUUUCACAGCGAUAUAUUUUUAAUUUGUUUUUUGACUUUUAGAUAUAAUCGUAUAUGUCUUGAAUAAUUUUCACCGUACUAAUGGGGUAUGAUCCUUGAGGCUGUAUUAGCGGCCACUCCGGGGGGGCUGCCCUGGGUAAGCUGCCUCAAUCCAUCGAUGGAGGACCUUAACAAUUCGAAUCCUCAAGCACGAUAAGUUUUUGCAGGCUUUUGUCAUUCAAUUCCUCUGGAGAAAUAACCAACCGGUCUUGGACAGUGUGUUGGGAGGUCCAAUCUUAUCUUCGUUUUCGACUCGUCAACUUCUCCACCGUCCAUUCCCGAUAUCACCGCCUAAUCUCCACCGUCCAUCCCUCGCCAGCUCCUAUAAAUAACCGCCCCCUGCAUAGUAUCCUCUGCCUCGUACUCCGUCUCACACAGGAGGACGGAGAGGAGAGAGGGAGAUCGAGGAGAGUCCGUGGGUUCUGUCAACCUCCUCCUCCGUCGUUCUCGCUCAUCGUCGGGUCUCAGGUUGAUCGUGGUGGUUAUUCAGGUUCCGAGUUGGAUUGUUGUUGAUGGUGGAUGAAGUUGAUCUUAUCCUUUUCCCUUGAAGGCUCUCUGAUCGAUUCUUCCUUUCUGCGCUUCCUAAACUUCGUCUUUCCCUUCCGAUUGAUUUUUAAUUACUGCGUCACCGGGGAUUUAUCGGUAGUUUUAUGCGUUGUUCCACGCAGUUUGAUCGAGCUUCGUUGGGCAUCAGCGGAGUCUAGAGCUUACGAGAAGCUUCUGUUUGGAUUCCUUUCUUUCGAUAACUGGAUUUGACUCUCUUGAUUUCGGUGAAUUCUCGUGUCGCCUGGGAUUUAUCGGUAGUUUAUGCGCUGUUUCUAUGCAGUUUGAUCAAGCUUUGUGAGGGAUCAACGGAGUCUAGAGCUUACGAGAAGCUUCUGUUUGGAUACAAUCCCCCCGAUCUUUUGAUUAUUGGAUUUGAAUCUUCCGAUUCAGUGAAUCUUCAUUUCUUCUGGAAUUGAUCGGUAGUUUAUGCAUUGUUCUAUGCAGUUUGAUCAGGCUUUGUGGGGGAUUGGUGGAGUUUUGAGAGCUUCUGUUUGGAUUUGGAUUGGAUCCUCCUCUCUUUCGAUAAUAGGAUUUGACUUUUGAUUUUGGUGAAUUCUCGUGAUUUUGAUGUUGCCUUCUCGGCCUACGCCUCUGAUUGGUGGAUCAUGUAUUGCAGAUUAUGCGUCAUUCUGCAUAGAUUCCUUGAUCAGGCCUUGUGGAGGAUCAGCCGAGUCUAGAGAUUCUGAGAAGCUUCUCUUUGGCCUGGAUCCUCCUUUGUCUCAUCAACUGGAUUUGACUCUUGAUUUUGGUGAAUUUUCGUGAUUGUUGAUUGCUAUGUCAACCUGGAAGGUCUGAUUGGUGGAUCCCGUAUUCAUGCAGAUUCUUUUCCCGUAGUUAACGCUUGAGACAGGAGUUGCCUGCGACUGGGGUUGGGAUCGGUUUUGUGUUCUAAUAUCAGCUGUUUGGUUUCAUACUCAGUUUGUGUUUAUUGGCGAGCUAUCAUAUUUGGUCAAUGGUUGCCCCCAAUUUCGGUUGUGUUUUCUUCAUCAGAUUUGAGAGUCAGAUGGAUGAAACGAAAUAGGUCUCCUGAUCAGUGAAGGCUUCGGGCGAUUUUGGAGCUUUCUGAAUGAUUAAUGGAUCGUUCGCCACUGCGAUUUUGAGCAAACAUGGGAUAGCUUGUGUUUGAAUCUCCGAUGACCUUAGCUCAUAUCUAUGAUUGAUGGUUCUUUUGGGGAGUUCUUUUGAUUGUUGACCUUGCUUUGUCAAUCUGGAGCUUUGAUCUUUGAUCACGUAUUUGUGCAGAUCCCUUUAUGCUUGAUUGUAGUUCAUGCUUUUGGUAGGAGCUGCAUGCGGUCGGAGAGUCAAUUGGUUUUGUGUUUCAGUUUUGGUGGUUCAAUUUGAUUUGAUACUUGGUUUUUGUCUCUUCAUGAGCUAUAUCCGGUUGAUGAUUUCCCCCGAUGUCUGUUUUGUUGUGGUUGUCAGAUCUAAUAUGCGGACAGAUGAGGGGCAGCAAAGUCGUUCUUCUUGAUCAGCGCAGACAUUUGUGUUUGGAAACUAUAUUUUCCCAACGAUCUUGAAUUACUUCUGUGUUUUCUCUUGGUUCUUUUUAUGGUCAAGAUUACUUUUUAAAACUGGUACUCACGGUAGGAAAGUCUGUCUUGCAGAAUCUUAAAUGAACGCGCACGCUCAUAGGUCCUACAUGGAUUGGGGAAGCCAUUGAUUCUUUGUUGGUUAACAAUUUUGUUUGCUGCAUUGUGGUUUUCUUUUUUUCCUGAACUAUUAUUGCCUUGUGGUUUUCAGGGACAUUAUUCCAGGAUGGUGAUAUUUCCUGUUUCGACAUCCGGUUAUUUUGUUCCCUCUUUCCGGGCUAAUUCUCUUUCUGCUAAAGUUUAUUGCCUGGUUAUUGAUGAUGUUUCUCUGUGUGGAUCGGUACCUGCCCAUAUCGAUUUACAAUGGUUCAGGUUGGAUAUGUAUGCAUAUAUUUCCUUAAAAAUGCUUGGGACUCUUCCUCUAACUAUAUAUUUUUUCAUGGUUUAUCCUGUGACCGAUGAAUCUGGAAACUUUAUCGAAGGAUUAUGCUAUACUGUAAUGUGCAGAUUUUUUCGCUGUGAUUGGGAUGGCUAGAAAGAAUUGAUAAGUUGAAUGUUCUUCGUUCAUUUCAAAUUUUUGAACUAUAAUAAUUUCUAGGGUCUAGGGAUGCUCUCAAUUCCAUUCCUCUGGCUAUUUUCAUGUCAGGUCCAGGUCAAAGAUGAGGUUGGAACUUUAUCUUCUUGGCAAAGGCUUCAGGACGUUUUGGGGGAUAUAUAUUACUCCUUUUCUUUUUCUUUUAUUUUAUAUUAUUUUCAUUCAUUUCUUUCGGAUCUAAAUCUUUUGGUUUUAACCUUGAACUUAUGCAUAUACUUAUGCACAUUGUGCAGAUUCUCUGGUCACACUUUGGAACAGAUGAGUCCUAGCAUACUUAGAAACUGCUGUGUUUGGAUACUCUUCCUCUUCAAUUACUAUGACCUAUUUCUUCAAUUUUAGCAGACGUCUAUUCAAUGUGAGACUGCCUCGUCAACCAAACUUAAUUUUUAGGAUGGUGUCAUGCAGAUAUUCACGUCACUUUUAUUGGAGAAGAGUGGCAUCUUGGGAUCUUUAUGAACUUCUGCUUGGGAACUCUCAUUUCUCCAUAAUUUUUAAACAGAUCUUCGACCUCACAAAAUUCAUUCAUUGUUCAAUUGCAGCCUGGCAAGUGAUAUUUGUUGUUGGCUGGUUGUGGUGUAGGAAAGUGAUGUAAGGACUCACAACACUUCGGAGAGUGGCCUGAUUAGUGACGAAGUUUUUCUCUGGGUGUUUUCUUGGACUUUGCGUUUUCGAUGUGAUCUUGAAAGAUAUCACAGCUGCAGUGAUGACAUUGGAUUUAUCUGGUUCUGUCGUAGGUUCAAAAUUUGAUUCUCUGUUAAUUCUUAUAUCAUGGACAAAAUCCUUUUGAGCACACUUCAUCUCCAUCCACAAUCAAUGGAAGUUGAAGGAUGCACUGGCUUUGCUCAUGCUCUGGGUUCCAGCAGUCUGGGGGAUUUCUUGAACUAGUCUCUCCUCUUCUUUUUAUGUUUUUUAUUUUUUAUUUUAUUUUUUUUAAGCAAUGCUUAAAUUGCAGCCAGAGAAGUGACUUGCUUUUGGUUGGUUCCGGUGUAGGAUGAUCACAAUAAUUCAACUUUGGAUAGUGGCCUUUAUCUGUGCUGGAGUUUUGAUUAUAGGGGUUAGGGGUUUUCUUGGACCUCUGUUUUUUUUUUUUUUUCCAAAAGUGUUCUUGAAAGAUAUCACAUCUAAAGUGACAUAUUCGUUAUAUCUGGUUCUGUUGUAGGAUGAAACUAGACCUUUUUCACACUUCUACAUGGACAAAAUCUUUUGAAGCAUAGAGGACGCAAUGGCUUUGUUCAAGCAUGGUUUCCGACAAUCUGGGGGUUUUCUUGAACUAUUAUGUUUUCGGAUAAGCCAUGAUUGUAUGCAGUCAGAGGAGAGAUGCAUGUUUUUGGUUGGUUGCAAUGUAGGAUGGUGAUAAAAGGACUGAACACUUUGGUUAGGGGUCUCAGUAUGCUGAAGUUUUGAUUAUAGGGGGUUUCUUGGACUGUGUUUUGAGAUCUUGAAAGAUGUCAUAGCAAAAGUGGUAACAUUGGUUUAAUCUGGUUCUGUUGUAGGACGGAAGUACAAUGGCGAGUCUCCUAGACAAGGAUUUUGGAGUUUGAUCUUUCGUCGUUAUCGUGAAAUCUCUACCUGUGGGUGUCAUUUCCUGAGUGUUGAUUUCUAUAUAUUUCUCACUUCUAGGGUUGAUGGAAGAUUGAUUCCUGAGCAGAUGGCUUACUGUGGAAUUUGUGGUCAGAGGCUCAAUUACUUCUUCCUUUUUUCUUUUUUCCUUUCUGUUUUGGUCAUCAGCAGACAGGAAACUGGCAUAAAAGAUAUUGGUUCCUUUUCAGUUAACGAUAGAUUCUCAGUUCGCGGAUUCCUCUUUCUGUAUAUGUCACUUCAAAAAGUGUUGAUUAUGUCUCCAGGGCUACCCUGUUAAUGUUUUCCUUUUCAACACAUUGGUGGUGGUUCCUGUUCCAUAGAAGGCAGUUCUCGCUGUCACAUAUUGGAGAUAUUGGUCCAGAAUUAGUUUUUUUUGGCUAAGGCUUGGGCAUUUCAACUCCUUUCUUUGCUCCGGAUGAUUUGGUUUAUUACACAAUGGUUCCAAAUGUUUGGAGUUCAACGGGAAGCUUAUUUUUAGCAUUAUGCACAUGGUACAGAUUCUUUUAUCUUCAUUUCUUCUGGAAUUGAUCGGUAGUGUAUGCAUUGUGCUACACAGUUUGAUCAGGCUUUGUGGGGGAUCGGUGGAGUUUUAAGAGCUUCUGUUUGGAUUUGGAUUGGAUCCUCCUCUCUUUCGAUAACAGGAUUUGACUCUUUUUCAUUUUGGUGAAUUCUCGUGAUUUUGAUGUUGCCUUGUCGGCCUGCGCCGCUGAUUGGUGGAUCACGUGUUGCAGAUUAUGCAUCGUUCUACAUAGAUUCCUUGAUCAGGCCUUGUGGAGGAUCAGCCGAGUCUAGAGAUUCUGAGAAGCUUCUCUUUGGCCUGGAUCCUCCUUUCUUUCAUCAACUGGAUUUUACUCUUGAUUUUGGUGAAUUUUCGUGAUUGUUGAUUGCUAUGUCAACCUGGAGGGUCUGAUUGGUGGAUAUUCAUGCAGAUUCUUUUCCCGUAGUUAACGCUUGAGACAGGAGUUGCCUGCAACUGGGGUUGGGAUCGGUUUUGUACUCUAAUAUCAACUGUUUGGUUUCAUACUCAGUUUGUGUUUAUUGGCGAGCUAUCAUAUUUGGUCAAUACCACCCCCAAUUUCGGUUGUGUUUUCUUCAUCAGAUUUGAGUUAGAUGGAUGAAGUUCAACGAAAUAGAUCUCUUCAUCGGUGAAGACUUCGGGUGUUUUGGAGCUUUCUGAAUGAUUAAUGGAUCCUUCGCAAAUGCUGAAUUUCUGAUCAUGCGUAUUGAGCAAACAUGGGAUAGCUUGCAUUUGAAUCUCCGAUGACCUUAGCUCAUAUCUUUCACUGAUGGUUCUUUCGUGGAGUUCUUUUGAUUGUUGACCUUGUUUUGUCAAUUUGGAGCUUUGAUCUUUGAUCACGUAUUUGUCCUGAUCCCUUUAUGCUUGAUUGUAGUUCAUGCUUUUGGUAGGAGCUGCAUGCGGUCGGAGAGUCGAUUGGUUUUGUGUUUCAGUUUUGGUGGUGCAAUUUGAUUUGAUACUUGGUUUUUGUCUCUUCAUGAGCUAUAUCCGGUUGAUGAUUUCCGCCGAUGUCUGUUUUGUUGUGGUUGUCAGAUCUAAUAUUCAGACAGAUGAGGGGCAGCAAAGUCGUUCUUCUUGAUCAGCGCUGGCAUUUGUGUUUGGAAACUAUAUUUUCUCAACGAUCUUAAAUUACUUCUGUGUUUUCUCUUGGUUCUUUUUAUGGUCAAGAUUACUUUUUAAAACUGGUACUCACGUUAGGAAAGUCUGUCUUGCAGAAUCUUAAAUGAACGCGCACGCUCAUAGGUCCUACAUGGAUUGGGGAAGCCAUUGAUUCUUUGUUGGUUAACAAUUUUGUUUGCUGCAUUAUGGUUUUCUUUUUUUCCUGAACUAUUAUUGCCUUGUGGUUUUCAGGGACAUUAUUCCGGGAUGGUGAUAUUUCCCGUUUCGACAUCCGGUUAUUUUGUUCCCUCUUUCAGGCUAAUUCUCUUUCUGCUAAAGUUUAUUCCCUGGUGUUAUUGAUGAUGUUUCGCUGUGUGGAUCUGUACCUGCCCAUAUCGUUUUACAAUGGUUCAGGUUGGAUAUGUAAGCAUAUAUAUUUCUUUAAAAUGCUCGGGAGUCUCUUCCUCUUAACUAUAUUUUUUCAUGGUUUAUUCUGUGACCGAUGAAUCCGGAUAUCGAAGGAUUCUGCUAUACUGUAAUGUGCAGAUUUUUUCGCUGUGAUUGGCUAGAAAGAAUUGAUAAGUUGAAUGUUCUACGUUCAUUUCAAAUUUCUGAACUAUAAUAAUUUCUGGGGCCUAGGGAUGCUCUCAAUUCCAUUCCUCUGGCUAUUUUCAUGUCAGGUCCAGGUCAAAGAUGAGGUUGGAACUUUAUCUUCUUGGCAAAGGCUUCAGAACGUUUUGGGGGAUAUAUAUUACUCCUUUUCUUGCUUCUUUUAUUUUAUGUUAUUUUCAUUCAUUUCUUUCGGAUCCAAAUCUUUUGGUUUUAACCUUGAACUUAUGCAUAUACUUAUGCACAUUGUGCAGAUUCUCUGGUUACACUUUGGAACAGAUGAGUCCUAGCAUACUUAGAAACUGCUGUGUUUGGAUACUUUUCCCCUUCAAUUACUAUGACCUAUUUCUUCAAUUUUAGCAGACUGCUAUUCAACGUGAAACUGCCUCGUCAACCAAACUUAAUUUUUAGGAUGGUGUCAUGCAGAUAUACACGUCACUUUUAUUGGAGAAGAGUGGCAUCUUGGGAUCUUUAUGAACUUCUGCUUGGGAACUGUCAUUUCUCCAUAAUUUUUAAACAGAUUCUUUGACCUCACAAAAUUCAUUCAUAGUUCAAUUGCUGCCAGGGGAGUGAUAUUUGUUUUUGGCUGGUUGUGGUGUAGGAAAGUGACGUAAGGACUCAAAACACUUCGGAGAGUGGCCUGAUUAAUGGCGAUGUUUUACUCUGGGGGUUUUCUUGGACUUUUGUGUUUUCGAUGUGAUCUUGAAAGAUAUCACAGCUGCCGUGAUGACAUUGGAUUUAUCUGGUUCUGUCGUAGGUUCAAAAUUUGAUUCUCUGUUAAUUCUUCUAUCAUGGAUAAAAUCCUUUUGUGCACACUUCAUCUCCAUCCACAAUCAAAGGCAAGUUGAAGGAUGCACUGGCUUUGCUCAUGCAUAGGUUCCAGCAGUCUGGGGGAUUUCUUGAACUAGUCUCUCCCCUUCUUUUUACGUAUUUAUUUAUUUAUUUUAAUUUAAGCAAUGCUUAAAUUGCAGCCAGAGAAGUGACUUCCUUUUGGUUGGUUCCGGUGUAAGGAUGAUCACAAUAAUUCAACUUUGGAUAGUGGCCUUUAUCUGUGCUGGAGUUUCGAUUAUAGGGGUUUUCUCGGACCUCUUUUUUUUUUUUUUUCAAAGUGAUCUUGAAAGAUAUCACAUCUAAAGUGACGUAUUCGUUAUAUCUGGUUCUGUUGUAGGAUGAAACUAGACCUUUUUCACACUUCUACAUGGACAAGAUCUUUUGAAGCAUAAAGGAUGCAAUGGCUUUGUUCAAGCAUGGUUUCUAGCAAUCUGGGGGUUUUCUUGAACUAUUAUGUUUUCUGAUAAGCCAUGAUUGUAUUCUCUCGGAGGAGUGAUACAUGUUUUUGGUGGGUUGAAAUGUAGGAUGGUGAUAAAAGGACUGAACACUUCGGAUAGGGGUCUGAGAUAUGCUGAAGUUUUUAUUAUCGACAGAAGUACUGGGGCGUCUCCUACACAAGGAUUUUGGAGUUUGAUCUUUCCUCAUUUUUGUGAAAUCUCUGCCUGUAUCGUUUCCUGAGUGUUGAUUUGUAUAUAUUUCUCACUUCUGGGGUUGGUGGAAGAUUGAUCCGCGAGCAGAUGGCUUAUUGUUGAAUUUGUGGUCAGAAGCUCGAUUACUUUUGUUUUUUUCCUUUCUGUUUUGGUUAUCAGCGGACAGAAACUGGCAUAAAAGAUAUUGGCUCCUUUUCAGUUAACGAUAGAUUCUCAGUUCGUGGAUUAGUGUUGAUUAUGUCUCCAGAGCUACCUGUUGAUGGUUUCCUUUUCUACACAUUGGUGGUGGUUCCUGUUCCAUAGAUGGCAGUUUUCGCUUCACAUAUUGGAGAUAUUGGUCCAGAAUUAGUCUUAAGGCUUGGAUAUUUCGACUCCUUUCUUUGCUUCGGUUGAUUUGGUUUAUUACACAAUGGUUCUGAAUGUUUGGAGUUCAACCUGAAGCUUAUUCUUAGCAUUAUGCACAUGGUGCAGAUUCUUUUAUCUUGCGUUUUGGGGAGCAACGGAAAUGAUGGCAUGCAAAGAGUGCAUACUUUCUUCCCUUAGUAUUUGUUGUCACUACCUCCUCCACUUGGAUCUUGUUCUUAUGAUCGUGUUGCAGAUGCUUCAGCUGCUAAAGACAUUUUAUAUCCCUCACUUGGAGGAGAGGGUGGGCACCCCCUUAGACUUCUGUUCGGAAACUCUCUUCCUUGAUGUGGUUGCUUUGUUGUUGCUUCUCAUUUCAUACACAUUUUGGAAGGUUUUCUUUUGGGUAACUCUAUUUUCCAGUUUAAUUUUGUGUUGAUUUGAUAGUUUGAUAACAUGAUCAAGAAUCUGGUUUUGCAUCUUUUUUUUUUCUCUAAUUUUUUUUCCCUUUUAUUUGGUAGGAUUUGGAUCCAAUUGACCUAUUGGUAUGUUGGCAGACAUUUAUAUUUUGACUGGUCUUUAUCACAAGUCAUUGCUUUGGCCUGUUAUGUAGCAGUAGUUUGUCUUGGAUGAUGAGAUUUGCAGGUGUUCUCAUUAUUUUCUUAUGGGUUUUCUAAAACAUUGGGAAUGUUUAGCUACAUAUCUCUGCCGUUCAUUAUACGGUGCUGUGGAGCUGAUGUUUAGCUUCAUAUCUCUGCUGUUCAUUAUACGGUGCAGUGGAGCUGAUGGAGUCACCAUUGGGUUUUCUAAAACAUUGGGAAUGUUUAGCUACAUGUCUCUGCCGUUCAUUAUACGGUGCAGUGGAGCUGAUGGGCCACCAUGGUUUAAUUGGGAGUCUGGUAAAGUUUCUUGGGGUCAUUUAAGAUUGGAGGAGAUUAAUUUUUCUGAUUGGAUCAGUUGCUGCAAUGGAGAUGAUGAUGGUUUAUAGGAAUGGAUUUGUCUUUGCCAAUUUUGCGACUCCCCUCUUUUCCUGAAAUUGUGGCUGCCUACUACAUGACUGAGGAUAUAUACAUCUGCUUGAAGUUUUUUCCCUUCUGAGCUGCCUCUCAUUCUUCUGCAUUGAAUGCAAAAGUUUAAAGGAAUAUCUGUCUGUUGGUUGCAUUGCUCUCCUUUUUCUGAUCAGAUGGUUUAUGAGCUUUAACAAUAAAGCGCACACAUUGAUCAGGUUGCUUUCUAGGCUUCACACCUCUAUCUGCUGUUGGUGUUUGUGUCGUCAGUCUCUUUCAUGUUGGAGGAUGUAGUAUGGUCUUCUGGGUAGCUUUUCCUUGGCUGGAGUUGCUUUGGUAGAUGCCUUUCUCUUGCGGCUUGCGGGCACUGGUGUAUUCUAGCUUGCUUUGGUUUUUAGCUCCAGUCUUUACAAAUAUUGAUUUGGGUUGAUGCGGGAUCAGUUGGCUAUUUGUGGGGAGAUUCUUCUUCUUGCUGAUAUAUCACAUGGAAGUGGACGCUGAGAAUUUCAUCUCAAUGCACGAUAGCUCUAGUGCAUGUGCUUCUUUGGGUUUCUAUGGUGUGUCUGCUCAGUUUUUGAAGUACCUUCAGAGUUGGGAGCAUGUAUGAAGUUCUAUUCUUAAUUUAGAAGAAGUUUUGCUGUAAUGUUGGAAUUUAUGUACAGUGGUUUAUAUAAUGGCUUAGAGAUCUUAGCACUUUUCUGUCAAUUGGUUGAUAUCUUCUCUCUGUUAUUAUAGAUGGUAAAUGGUUUAUCAAAUAUGAUAAUAUCGGAGAUGCAUUAUUUAUUUCUGAUAUCUUCUGUUCUGUUAAAAAUUCUGUCAAGAUAAGCCGGGGUCGCUGGUGGGAUUGAUUCCUUUGAUUGCUAGUAGAUGUUUCGAAAAGUGAUUGAUUAUUGCCAAAUUAUCAAAUUUAAUAUUGGAUUUAUUCUUUAGAGCUCAUGUGACUCUGUUCAUGGCCAAUAAUGGUCAUUAGUCGUCAAUAGGUAGGGGCUGUCGGGGGCUUCUCAUUUUCAUUUUAGGUCUGAUCUCCAAGUUUGCAGGUGCGGCAGGUAUGAUAAGUAUUAAUAUAUGAUAUUAUAAUUAUAUUACAAAGAACUACAUGGGCUCUGUACCUCUCGGGGUACGUAGGCACCCACAUAAUUUGUGGAGUUCGAGCCCAACUAAUUUUAACCCCCUUCCCCCCAAUUAUUAUUUGUCUGUCUAUUUGUAUGAGUUCAUUAAUUGGUUGAGUUUUAGUUUGAUAUAUUCUGGUCUGCUAUUGCCACAACAAAUGAUCUGGUAUUGGAGGGGAUGGUGUUUGGUGUGCAUCAUUAAGGCCAAAUACGGCUUAUUUUGUAAAAUUAAACCAAAGCUUUUAGAAAAUGAUGUGAUGAUCUUUAGGUCAAGUGAUGCUUUUUGUUCGGUUAUACUGAAGUUUGUUGCAAAGUUGAUUAGAUAUGUGUGAUCUCUUUUUUGUUUUGUUAACUGCGGGUAGAUUCAACCAACUUUUAACAGUAUAGUGCCAAUUCAAUUAAAUGACUGCUGAGUUAUAGAUACUUGAACAACGAAUUGGUGGUCAGUGCCUUGUCAGUGGUAACUUUAGUUCUUCCCUGAGUGCUCUCUGUUAACCAAAAUUCUUUCGAAAAUGUAUUUGUUUUGCCAACGUGGAAUUCGCAUACAACGUUUGCUCAUCUAGCAACUUGAAGUUUCUAGGAAUCCUCUCUGGCAUCCAAUUAUUUGGAAAACUUUGGACUGUGCAUGACAUUUCACGUCAAUCUAACACGAUCGAAAACUCUGCUAUCUCAAUUAAUGUAAGUUCCAACUAUUUUGGGUGUGACCAACUGCUUUCUGCAUGUGCUUAGAACAGUAAUUAAGCCUUAGCAGUAGUAAUGAUUAGACUUACAUGUUUUACUUGUAGGAUUAAGAAUGUUUAAGGAUUGGGUCCAGUUGACUAUUCUGAUAUAUGAAAACUGAUAUCCUAUUCUGUUGUAGGAUAUGUUGAUAGAUGACAAGCGGUAAUCUUAGGGAAAUAUAUGAUAUAUGAAAGUGGAUUAAUUUACUCGUCUGACCAUUUUCUUCUCUGAGCUUACAAUUACAGACAGGCUUUUGUUGACAUCCAGUGGGCACAUAUGUUGAAGGGUAAUAAGAGAAACGGAUUGCUGUUUUUGGGUUUCAAAAUUUUUUGGUCGAGGUUACAUCUGAAAUUCUGAAAUCAGUUUUUCUCUGAUCUAACAGUUCAAUAUAUAGGUUUCCUAUGUCGACAAUUCUGUGCGUUCAUGAGUUUUUCUAUACAUACCUUCUCUUGAUUGUAUCAGAUGAUGACUCAUGGCAUUAAAAAUGAGAAAGCAUACCCCUGGUUGGUUUUCUGGACUCAGCUUUGCGGUCAGUGUUUUCCUCAAUCGGCGAUCCUCUUGUAUAUUGUUUUCUGGAUUUUACUGGUGGUGGUCUGGCAGAUUGUGGUCUUGAGAUCUUUUCGAAACCUCAUCUCAAUUAACCAGAGAGAGUAUUUCCUGUUAGUAUGGCUUUGGAAUAUCACAAUGAGGUGCUAUAGGAGGUGCAAAUCUGUCGCAGAAGCGAACUAAUUCAGUGCACAAUGAGGAGCUAUAGGAAGUGCAAAUCUGUCACAGAAACGAACUAAUUCGAUGCACGUACUGCUGUUGUCUACCCAAUGUUCAUCUUCAACUGUGCUGCUCACUGCGGAGUUCAUCGGAUGAUGGGGAAGGUGGUAAAAACUUUGUUCCAACAGAAUAAUAAGUUGAAGGUCUCAGUUGAUUUUUCCCAGGGUGUGACAGGUACGUAUUCAUUAUCCUUUCUAAAAAGAACUACGUGGACUCUGAUCCUCGUUAGACGAGGUACGUAGGCACCCACACACCUGUGGAGUUCGAGUCUAGCUUCCCCCCCUUCCUUUUUGUACUCCAAUUAUGUUUCUUGCAUGUGGAUUGAUGUGUAUAUAUAUGUCCGUCUGAUAUCGAAACUGUUCUGUUUGGAAGGGAAAUGAUGGUACACCCUGGUUUGUGAUUCGUGGCUUCAUCACCGUGUAUUCUUGGCCUGUCAUUUUGCUUAUUUUAGUUCUAUUUUCUCCUGAAGUGCUCUGUAUUGGAACCUUCGUACCCCUCUUAUCAAGGCCUGCCUCUGGCUCUUGUUGUCUUGGUGGUGGAAAGACCCAUCACAAACGAAAUAGUGAUUGGAAAAAAAAAAAAGAAGGAAAAGAUUAUGAGAAAAGUUCUUCAAGGAGGAGCCCGACAUAAGACACUACUGUGGCGUGCUUCCUUAUUGCGCUGCGGCUCUUUGAUUUUUAUCUAUAUAUAUAUAUAUAUAUAUACACACACACUAGUAGGGUUGCCCGGGCAAUGCAUGGGAUAACUAAUAAAUAAAAUUAUGCACAAUGUAUAUAUGAUGGAAAAUAUAUAUUACUUGCUUCAUAGUUAAACUCUGCUUCAAUUUAAUAUAAUCAUUAUAUAUUAUUUGAAAAUUUUGACAAUUCAAUAUUCUUAUUAAAAAUAUAUUAUGUAUUCUUUGAUCGAUCCUUAUUAUGUCAUUAUAUUGAUGCAUCCUAUCUAUAAUAUUGUUGACUUAAUCAAGUUCUAUAAGCAAAAUUCCUAUUUAAAUACUUUAUAAAUUGGUCUAUGAGGUUGAAUUAAGAACAAUUAUAUUAUAUUAUUUUAUAUCAUUUAACCACUUAAUUAGUACUGAUUCAGUGUGUUAACUAGCUAAUCAAUUAGUGAACUUAAUUAGUACUAUGUUCCAUAUGGUGGACGGGGCUAUUCUAUAUAUGUAUUAGUUAAAGAAUUUAUAAUAAAAAUUUGGCCCAUGUUGUAUGUAUACCCUCUUACGUAGAAUGUUUAUUAUUAUGUAGCCAAUCAAGUCAUGGAAAUGGAGCGGAUUUAUCGCUCUCUCGGACAUUCAGUAUUAGGCAGCUGGCCACAUGGAGCUCAACAUGUCGAAUACUGCUCUGGACUUGCUAGGUUAUCACUACGACGUGGCAUUUUCUCUGUUGGACGGAACUCCAUUCUCGUCGAGACGGUAAAGUCAUAUGUGGUAAGUGAAGAGCUGGAAAUUCUUAAUAGGAAGAAGAUUGAAGCAGCAAAAAAGUAAAAGGAAUGUUGGAGAUAUGUGAACAUAUAUUAUGCUCUGGGAACUGUAUGAUGACAUGCCAACUCGGAAUUCCGCAAAGCCGAUGCCAAAAUGUCAAAAUGUCGCACCAUUAAUUCACAUCAUAUAUUAGGAAGCCUUGUCAAAAUUCACACCAUUAAUUUUAUGGUGAUCAAAAUUCACAUGACAUGUAUAAUGUCUCUGUAUAUGAUCAGUAUAUAUGAUGCAAUUUCUUUUCGGAAUUUUUAUUUGGUAGAUACUUGUUUCGGAAUUUUUUGUUAUCCUGAUAAUUGGUUUAGUCUC